GGCUGAUUUUAGCAUAAACCUUGAUUAUCUGUUGAAAGAUUGAUAUGUGUGUGUGUAUUCUUUUUCUUUUUUGGGGGGUAAUUAUAUCAUAAAACCCUAGAGUUUGACCUUGGUUCAGAUUAAAUCCUAAAAUUCAGUUGCAUCAAUGUUUACUUGAUAGUUCCAAGAUUGUUUCAAUUUGGAAACUCAGUGAAAGUAAUGAAAACUCAGAUAAGGUGCAAUUAAUACCUAUUUGAACGGUAAAAAACUUUUGACAUUUGUACUCAUCGAUAUAUUUGUGAGCUCAUUUGGCUUCAAAAUACCACCUUCAAUUUACAUGGAGUGUUUUUGUGGUGCUCUAAUAGGUCCUAAGUACAACUUAUGUGGUCUUCCAUUAUUUUUUGUUAACAUGAGACUCACCAGAUCGAAACAAUUUGAAACUAUAAGGUUGAUCCUGAUGCAAUUGACACUUCAGGGUCAAAUUUGAGACUAAAGCCAAAGUCUGAGAUUUAUUAUAUACUUGCUGACUUUUUUUCUUCUUUUAAUUAUAAAUUCAACUUAAUAAGAGUUGUUUUUCCUACUAGGUUGAACCUAAAGUCUCAAACAAAUCACGUUUUACGCAAGAGCUUAUCUCAACUAUCUUAUUUACUAUAGCUCUUGGAUUAGUAUGGAUACUGGGUGCUGCUGCACUUCAAAAAUAUGUAGGGAGCUUGGGUGGGAUAGGAACAUCAGGUGUUGGCUCUAGUUCUUCCUAUGCCUGGAAGGAGUUAACUAAAGAAGUUAUGCCAGAGAAGAAUGUUAAGACAUUUAAAGAUGUCAAAGGUUGUGAUGAUGCAAAUUUGGUAUGAAGAGUGGUAAUAUCUUGCUGAUUUUAUCUAUCUGUAAGCAUUUUUCUGUUUAUCUUUGCUUGAUUAAUUUCAUAAUACAGAGCCUAACACAUACUUAUUCGCAGGGAAUUCUUUUGAAUGGAGCACCCGGAACUGGAAAGACUCUUCUUGCCAAGGAUGUUCAUGCCAAUGAGCUCUAACUCAAAUGGAACUUCCUCUUGUAAAAGCAUUGUAGAUGGUGGGGUCAUGGGUUCAGGACCCACUAGGUGCCAUUUAUGUUGUCCUUGGGUGGAUAUGCACUUGUUAAAGUGGAUGUAUGUGCUUUAUGAGUAAGGAAAAUAUUGGAGGGAUGGGGUCUCCUCUACGGGGAAGUACAUGAAGAAAGGAUGCAUCAUCUUUUUUUCAAUGAUACUAGCUUUUGUCAUGGGCCUUCUUGUUAGGAAGUGGCACUUCUCCAUAAAUCUGUUACUUGAGGAUAAUUGAUGGAGCACAGUGGUUUUUAAUUUUUUUUUCUUUUAAUUAGCCAUUUUGAAAACUUGGAACUAUUUGAAUACUUAAAAAUUAGGUUGGUGCUUUUGUUUUUAUAUGAGAAUGGAGUUUAAUUUGGAAUUGCACAA